ACAAUGAGCUAAGUCUGCCGGCGUUCUGAGAAAGGGCUUGAGUUGCCAAUGAUUGGGGGAGAUAUGAUACUUGACAUAAUGUUUCAUCGUCCAAAUGUCAUCAGGAAGAGCGUCAUAAAAGAGAAGCGUCGUCCAACUAUCUUAACGGUGAGAAAUGUGUUUCUGUUUCCCAGAUUCAGAGGAGGGAGAUUAAGAUGAGCGUGCUGGUGAAGCAGCUGACGGAGAGGAAGAAGCGGCACUCUGAAUGUCAGAAGGAGUUGGUCCAAAGAGAGAAGGCUUCGGGGGAAGUCUGCGAGGAGAGGGACGAGCUGAGAGCCAAGAUGGACGACCGGAGCAGAGAGUGUGUCCACCUCAACCAGACCAAAGACAGACUGGAGGCUGACUUGGCUGUGAGCCAUGAGAAACUCCACACCUUGCACCUGGAGGUCCAUCUCUCUGUGUGUGUGUGUGUGUGUGUGUGUGUGUGUGUGUGUGUGUGUGUGUGUGUGUGUGUGUGUGUGUGUGUGUGUGUGUGUGUGUGUGUGUGUGUGUGUGUGUGUGUGUGUGUGCGCGUGUGCGUGUGCAUGUGUCAGAGCAAAAUCAUAUGUUGUUAACUAAAUAUUUAACUACUAAAGGUACAUGAUGGACUAAAAUGUAUUUUUCUCUGCGUGUUCAGGUUCGGAGCAGAGAUCAGUUCAUUCUGCAGUUAAGAGCUGAAAUGAAGACGGCUGAACAAAAGCACGAGAGGAAACAGGAACAGGUGUGUGUGUGGUGGCUUCUUUGUGUCUGUAUGUUGAUUUGCAUUUUUCCUAUCAUUUCCAUCUAUUUCCAUCCUCACCAGGG
rnacentral:lncRNA from 1 species